GGUGUAUUAAGGACUGACUUGAGACUUGGUGGGGCUUAUACGCGGACAAAAUCUGUUUUUGCUAAUAUCUCCCAAACAGAAACAGCUAUGAUCACCAAACUUGGCAGCUACAACAUUGAUGUCAGUCCGAAGACUAUUUUAUUGUAUGUUACCAUGGCCACCGAAGACUCAAUUUACAAUUUUUGCAUUCAAGCAAAAAUGGGGAUUACACAACGAUAAUAGAUAAAGCCUUAAAUGGUAUAUUCAUAAUCGCCAUGAAAUUCCCCACAUCAUGCUGUCUUUUUAUCGUGUCCAGCGUCACGUGACCGUGAGAACCGUUGCCAUGGAAACAUAGUUUUGUUUGUAUUUCAGCUAAUGCUGUAGGUGGACAGCCUUAAAAGACAGCACGAAAAGAAGACUACUAUAGGGAUUGAAAAUAUGCAUUUAAAUUUGAAAUCCACUAUGUUUCUGUAUUCCCCAUUUUCCAUUGAAUGUAGAAAGCGAAAAAUUAUGCUCGAGCCACCUUAAAUCGGUUGCCAUAGUAACAAAAUUUGUCAAAAUGCUGAGAUCCAUGCGAAUAAAGUGCUUGCCAAUUUUGGUUUCAUUAGCACCUUGUGUCCCCGAGAUAUUGAUGAAAAUGUGUUUUUCAACGUAUAAGCCUGUAAGUCAGGCCUUAAAAUACCUGAGUAUGGUACAGAAACUGUUAGUGGAGACAGCCAAAGAGGUAAAAUACAGAAAUUGUUAGUGGAGACAGCCAAAGAGGUAAAAUACAGAAAUUGUUAGUGGAGACAGCCAAAGAGGUAAAAUACAGAAAUUGUUAGUGGAGACAGCCAAAGAGGUAAAAUACAGAAAUUGUUAGUGGAGACAGCCAAAGAGGUAAAAUACAGAAAUUGUUAGUGGAGACAGCCAAAGAGGUAAAAUACAGAAAUUGUUAGUGGAGACAGCCAAAGAGGUAAAAUACAGAAAUUGUUAGUGGAGACAGCCAAAGAGGUAAAAUACAGAAAUUGUUAGUGGAGACAGCCAAAGAGGUAAAAUACAGAAAUUGUUAGUGGAGACAGCCAAAGAGGUAAAAUACAGAAAUUGUUAGUGGAGACAGCCAAAGAGGUAUAAAAUACAGAAAUUGUUAGUGGAGACAGCCAAAGAGGUAAAAUACAGAAAUUGUUAGUGGAGACAGCCAAAGAGGUAAAAUACAGAAAUUGUUAGUGGAGACAGCCAAAGAGGUAAAAUACAGAAAUUGUUAGUGGAGACAGCCAAAGAGGUAAAAUACAGAAAUUGUUAGUGGAGACAGCCAAAGAGGUAAAAUACAGAAAUUGUUAGUGGAGACAGCCAAAGAGGUAAAAUACAGAAAUUGUUUGUGUAGACAGCCAAAGAGGUAAAAACAGAAAUUGUUAGUGGGGACAGCCAAAGAGGUAAAAUACAGAAAUUGUUAGUGGAGACAGCCAAAGAGGUAAAAUACAGAAAUUGUUAGUGGAGACAGCCAAAGAGGUAAAAUACAGAAAUUGUUAGUGGAGACAGCCAAAGAGGUAAAAUACAGAAAUUGUUAGUGGAGACAGCCAAAGAGGUAAAAUACAGAAAUUGUUAGUGGAGACAGCCAAAGAGGUAAAAUACAGAAAUUGUUAGUGGAGACAGCCAAAGAGGUAAAAUACAGAAAUUGUUAGUGGAGACAGCCAAAGAGGUAAAAUACAGAAAUUGUUAGUGGAGACAGCCAAAGAGGUAAAAUACAGAAAUUGUUAGUGGAGACAGCCAAAGAGGUAAAAUACAGAAAUUGUUAGUGGAGACAGCCAAAGAGGUAAAAUACAGAAAUUGUUAGUGGAGACAGCCAAAGAGGUAUAAAAUACAGAAAUUGUUAGUGGAGACAGCCAAAGAGGUAUAAAAUACAGAAAUUGUUAGUGGAGACAGCCAAAGAGGUAAAAUACAGAAAUUGUUAGUGGAGACAGCCAAAGAGGUAAAAUACAGAAAUUGUUAGUGGAGACAGCCAAAGAGGUAAAAUACAGAAAUUGUUAGUGGAGACAGCCAAAGAGGUAAAAUACAGAAAUUGUUAGUGGAGACAGCCAAAGAGGUAAAAUACAGAAAUUGUUAGUGGAGACAGCCAAA